UGCAUUUCAAGGGAUAAGAGGAAAGAAGCACAGUAGCUACUUAAUUUAGAAAACAUAUUUGAAUGUGUUUUUUAGAGCGUUCUUGGAAAAUGAAAUGGUUUUAUAAGAUGAUACCAGCUGAGCAGUGGCACAAAGAUCAAGUAAUGACAGAGCAUUUCUUCAUCUGACGAUCCAGUGGAGAAGAGACCACAAACAGAAAGCUGUGGCAGCCUGACAGUUUGAAUUGUGCAAGUAUCAGAGUUUAAGUCUUCAUUGUCUUCAGCUUUUGAGAAUAUAAUUAGAUCUGCCUCCUGUAAUGAUAUCUAAUAAAAUCAAGAUUCUUUCAUACUGAUUAUGUAGA
rnacentral:lncRNA from 1 species